rnacentral:rRNA from 1 species
CGCGACCCAUGGUCAGGCGGGAGCACCGCCGAUGUUCUAAGCAUAUUCAAUUAAGCGGAAUGGAAAAGAACUUACCCAGAUUCCCCUUAGUACGGCUGAGCGACCGCGGAGAGGCCCAGCUGAGAUCUGGGCGCCCUCGGCGUCCGAAUUGUAGUCUGGAGAGAAGCGUCCUCAGCGGCGGACCGGGCCCAAGUCCCCUGGAAGGGGGGCGCCGGAGAGGGUGAGAGCCCCGUCGUGCCCGGACCGUCGCACCCACGAGGCGCUGUCUGCGAGUCGGGUUUGUUUGGAAUGCAGCCCCAACGGGCGGUAAUUCCGUCCAAGGUAAAUACGUGCGAUUGAGACCGAUACCGCGAACAAGUACCGCGAGGAAAGAUGAAAAGGACUUUGAAAGAGAGUCAAAGAGUGCUUGAAAUGUCGGGGGAGGGAAGCGAUGAGGGGCCGGCGAUGCGCCCGGUCGGCAUGUGGAACGGCGGGCCAGCCGGUCGCGAUCGGCUCGGGGCGCGGACCGACGCGGAUCGCACAGCGGCGGCCCAACGCCCGGCACUAGAAACGCCCGCGGGAGACGCCGUCGCAGCGAUCGUGGAACAGCAGGCUGCGCGCCGUCACGGCGUGCCCGCACAGCGCGCUCCUGGCGUCGGCCGGCGGGCUCCCCCAUUCGGCCCGUCUUUGAAACACGAACCAGGAGUCUGAAUGUGUGCGAGUCACACGGGCGAGUUUAACCCUUUAAGGCGCAAGGAAGCUGACUGCGCGGUCCCCGAGGGUUGCAACCGCCGACCGACUCGAUCUUCUGAGAAGGGUUCGAGUGAGGAGCAUGCCUGUCGGGACCCGAAAGAAUGUGAACUUAUGCCUGAGCGGGGCGAAGCAGAGGAAACUCUGGUGGGAGGCCCGCACGAUUACUGACGUGCAAAUCGUUCGUCUGACUUGGGUAUAGGCGCGAAAGACUAAAUCGACCCGUCUAGUAGUCUGGUUCCUCCGAGUUUCCCUCAGGAUAGCUGGAGCUCGGGACGAGAGUUCUAUCGGGUAAAGCCAAUGCUUAGAGGCCAUCGGGGGCCGCAACGCCCCUCGACCUAUUUCUCAAACUUUAAAUAGGUAGGACGGCGCGGCUUGCUUCGCUGAGCGGCGCCACGAAUCGAGAGCUCCAAGUGGGCCAGAUUUUGGUAAGCAGAACUGGCGAUGCGGGGUGAACCGGAAGCCGGGGUUACGGAUUGGCCAACUGCGCGCUAACCCAGACCCCACAAAGGGUGUUGGUCGCAUUAAGACAGCAGGACUGGUGGUCAUGGAAGUUCGAAUCGCUAAGGAGUGCUGUAACAACAUCACCUGCCGAAAUUCAACUAGGCCCCGAUAAAUGGGAUGGCGCUUAAGCCCGCGACCUCAUACCCCGGCCGUCGGGGCAAGAGCCAGGCCCCGGAUGAGUAGGAGGCGCGGGCGGGCCGCUCAAACCGGGGCGCGAGCCCGGGCGGAGCGGCCGCCGGUCAGAUUCUUGGUGGUAGUACGCAAUAUUCAAAUGAGAACUUUUUUGAAGGCCGAAAAAGGGAAAAGGUUCCAUGUUGAACGGCACUGCACAUGGGUUUAGUCGAUCCUAAGCAGACGGGGGAACGCCCGUCCGACAGGCGCGUCGCGCGCGAGCUUUAAAGGGCAAUGGGGUAAAUUCCCGAACCGGGAACGCCGGCGGCUGACGCCAGGCAACGUCUAGGGAGUCCGGAGACCGGAUCGUCGGGCCCUCGGGAGAGUUAUUCUUUGUUUAACGGCCCGCCCCACCCUGGAAACGGACUCCAGUCGGAGGGUAGGGUCCACGCGGCCGGAAAGAGCACCGCACGCUCUGCGCGGUGUCCUGGCUUGCCUCGCACCCCCGGCGGCCCCGUGAAAAAGUCCGGCAGGACGAGUGCCUCCCGCGCCCCGGUCGCUACUCAAUAACCGCAUCAGGUCUCCAGCUGUCGAACAGCCUACUUGGGCCAACUGAGGGAACAAUGUACGGCAAGGGAAGUCGGCCAAAACGGACUCCGUAACCCUCGGGAAAAGGAUUGGCUCUGAGCGGCUGGGCCCGGGGGUCCCAGUCCCGAACCCGUCGGCUGUCGGCGGAACUUGCUCGAGCCUGCUCCCGCGGCGAGAGCGCUCGUCGCCGCCGGUGCCGGCCGGGGACGGACUGGGAACGGCCCCUCCGGGGCCUUCCCGGUGCGAUCGAACAGUACGACUCAGAACUGGUACGGGACAAGCGGGAAUCGACCUGUUUAAUUAAAACAAAGCAUGCGUGGUCCCAUGCGGAUGCUCACGCAAAUGUGAUUUCUGACCCAUGUGCUCUUGGAAUGCAAAGUGAAGAAACUUCAAACAAGCGCGGGUAAAGCGGAGUAAUAACUAUGACUCCUUUAAGGUAGCCAAAUGCCUCGCUCAUCUAAUUAGUGACGCGCAUGAAUGAAUUAACGACGAUAUCCACUUCCCUGUCUACUAUCCAGCGAACCAACAGCCAAUGGGACGGCUUGGCGACAUCAGCCGGGGAAAGAAGACUCUGUUGAGCUUACUCUAGUCCGACUUCUCGAUGCAAAUGACUUUGAGCAGGUGUUCAGGAUAAAGUGGGAGCCUGAAACGGGCGACGGUGGAAAUACCAUACUUUAACGUUAUAUUUACUAUAUUAUCCGUGAAUCGGAAGGCGGGGCCUCCGCCCCUCUUUUUGGACCAAAGGCGCCACGGCGCCGAUCCGGAGCAGGAAGACAUUGUCAGGUGAGGGAGUUUGGCUGGGGCGGCACAUCUGUAAAGAUAACGCAAGGUGUCUAAGAUGAGCUCAACCGAGAACAGAAAAUUCUCGUGUGGGAACAAAAGGGUAAAACUCUUUGAUUUCUGAUUUCCAGUCAAUACGACCGUGAAAGCGUCUGGCCUAUCGAUUCCUUUAGACCUUCGGAAUUUGAACUAGAGGUGUCAGAAAGUUACCACCAGGGGAUAAACCUGGGUUGUGGCACCAAGCGUUCAUGCGACGUGCUUUAUCCUUCCAGAGUCGGCUCUUACCUAUAUUGUAGAAGCAGAAAUUCACCAGUGUAGGAAUUGUUCACCCACCAAUAGGGAAACGUGAGCCUGGUUAGACCGUCGUGAGACAGGGUUUAGUUUACCCUACUGAUGACCGCGUCGCGAUGGUAAAUUCAACCUAGUACCGAGAGGAACCAGUUGAUUCGCACAAUUGGAUCAUCGCCAGCUUGGUUGAAAAGCACAGACUGGCGCGAAGCUACGUGCGCUGGAUUAAUGAUGAAACGCUCUAAGUCGAGACACUCCGGGCCAGAAGCGACGCCCGUGCUCGGCGCCGCUUGCGACCCGCAGUAGGGCCACUCGGCCCCCAGAGGCACGAUGCCGUGCCAAGCCCCCGCGGCGGACAGCCGCGCGGGGCCCUUGAAGUACUAUUCCCACCGGGCGUCCGGGACAGAAUCCUUGCAGCGAAUAAAUACGCGACGGGUAUUGUAAGUGGCCAGAGUGGCCUUGCUGCCACGAUCCACUGAGAUCAGCCCUUUGUCGCUCACGAUCGU